GAUUACUUCAUCUACCAUGGCAAAUCCAACAGAUAUGAUGAUGAUGGGAAGGAGUUAUGAAGAUACUCGUACUCAUAAUAAUCAGUUCUUGAUGGGUGGUUACCAUAAACCAUGUGAAGAAAUCUAUGUAGUUGGUGAAGGUAACUUAGGUGAAUUGCAGGAUGGAUACAGGCAAUCAAAAUUGUAUAUUUACACUGUAAAUUUCAAGUGAAGUAUUUGCAUGCUCUUUAUUAUCUUCUUUACUUGCAUAGUCCUAAUAAUAAUAAACAUCAGAACUACAACAAUCUCAAUCCAUAUAGGGGGACAAUAUGGCAUGUUGGGUUGGGACAAUUCCCCACGCUCUUCCCCUAAUCCACCCCUAAUUAUUUACAAUACAUAAAAUUAAAUAUUGUGCACACACCUAUGUUAGUGUUAAUUUAUAUUUUUAUUCCAUUGGUUAA